rnacentral:rRNA from 1 species
CAUUAUCGAGUUUACAACUCCCAAACCCUUAUGUGAACAUACCUACUGUUGCUUCGGCGGACUCGCCCCGGCGUCCGGACGGCCUCGCGCCGCCCGCGGCCCGGACCCAGGCGGCCGCCGGAGACCCCCAAACUCUGUAUUAUCAGCAUUUUCUGAAUCCGCCGCAAGGCAAAACAAAUGAAUCAAAACUUUCAACAACGGAUCUCUUGGUUCUGGCAUCGAUGAAGAACGCAGCGAAAUGCGAUAAGUAAUGUGAAUUGCAGAAUUCAGUGAAUCAUCGAAUCUUUGAACGCACAUUGCGCCCGCCAGCAUUCUGGCGGGCAUGCCUGUUCGAGCGUCAUUUCAACCCUCGACUUCCCUUUGGGGAAAUCGGCGUUGGGGAACGGCAGCAUACCGCCGGCCCCGAAAUGAAGUGGCGGCCCGUCCGCGGCGACCUCUGCGUAGUAAUCCAACUCGCACCGGAACCCCGACGUGGCCACGCCGUAAAACACCCAACUUCUGAACGUUGACCUCGGAUCAGGUAGGAAUACCCGCUGAACUUAAGCAUAUAAA